rnacentral:rRNA from 1 species
GUGGGGGAUAUUGCACAAUGGGGGAAACCCUGAUGCAGCGACGCCGCGUGAGUGAAGAAGUAUUUCGGUAUGUAAAGCUCUAUCAGCAGGGAAGAAAAUGACGGUACCUGACUAAGAAGCCCCGGCUAACUACGUGCCAGCAGCCGCGGUAAUACGUAGGGGGCAAGCGUUAUCCGGAUUUACUGGGUGUAAAGGGAGCGUAGACGGCAAGACAAGCCAGAUGUGAAAGGCAGGGGCUCAACCCCUGGACUGCAUUUGGAACUGCCUGGCUAGAGUGUCGGAGAGGUAAGUGGAAUUCCUAGUGUAGCGGUGAAAUGCGUAGAUAUUAGGAGGAACACCAGUGGCGAAGGCGGCUUACUGGACGACAACUGACGUUGAGGCUCGAAAGCGUGGGGAGCAAACAGGAUUAGAAACCCGUGUAGUCC